GCAUUUUGCUCAUUUGUUUGGAAUGUUUGGUCUUCACUAUUCUUCUAUAACUUUAUAUUUGUUUGUCUUUCUAACUAAUUUGAUCUGAACGUCACUGGUGAGUCUUAUGUAGACGAAACGCGCUUAAGGCGUAUCAAAUUAUAAGCCUGGCACCUUUGAUAACUAUUUGAUCUUUCUUUCCAACUAAUGUGCCGGGUUCGUUUGACUAGUGGUUAUCCUGUUAGUAGCUGCAAUCUUCAUGUUACAAUCAACGGGGGAGGUACUUUGACUUUUUAGUAGAAGGUGUGAGCAGUUGAGAGAUUGAGUACUGUAAAUUCAGAAAUUAUUGCGAGGUUUUUAUUAUUGCGAAAAAUGCGACCGAGUUGUAAACGCAAUACUUUAAACUCGCAUUUUGAAGUAUUUUGUAUGAAUUAAUCAGGAUUUUCCUCAAAAUCGUAAACAUGAAAAUUGCAUUUAAGUCUAAAUUGACAAA
rnacentral:lncRNA from 1 species